UACGAAGGGGGCUAGCGUUGUUCGGAAUCACUGGGCGUAAAGCGCACGUAGGCGGAUUGCUAAGUCAGGGGUGAAAUCCUGGAGCUCAACUCCAGAACUGCCUUUGAUACUGGCGAUCUCGAGUCCGGGAGAGGUGAGUGGAACUGCGAGUGUAGAGGUGAAAUUCGUAGAUAUUCGCAAGAACACCAGUGGCGAAGGCGGCUCUCUGGGACGGUACUGGACGCUGAGACGCGAAAGCGUGGGGAGCGAACAGG
rnacentral:rRNA from 1 species